rnacentral:tRNA from 1 species
UGGGGUGUAGCUUAAUGGUAAGAGUGCCUUGCCCAGCAGGUAAGACCAUGGGUUUGAUCCCCAGCACCACAA